AGACACUUCGAUAACAGCAGCAUAAACAGAUCAACGUUCUUCAAGUCCUACUCGUUUAACUCCAAAGUCAGAGUGAUGUAACUGAGUGACAUAAAAAGCACGUGAUAUUGAUGUAACGAGUGGCCCAGAGAAAGAAAAAAGAGUAUUGAAAGAGGGAAUCCAGAAAGAACACUUACUUGAGGACAAAAGAAGAAAUACAGAAAUCAACGAAGCAGAAGAAUUCGUGCACUAUUAGUAGAAGUCACGUCCGCUUCAGUGUCAUUGAUAUCACCCACACGCUGCAAUCAUUGAUCGUGGAUCAUUCGCGCGACUGCCACGACCAGCUGCGACGCAGCGAAAACAGACGGCUGAAUCUACUGUUCGUUACGCACUGGCCAGUUUAUGAAUGCCACUGGAUGCCGUUGAACAUUGUCGAACUUGGCCAACAGACCCGAGGAGAGGGGUCGACGAUCAGGGACAUUCAGUUACUUCACUGCUUAGCAUUGCUUAAACCAGUAAUAACCGAGAAGGCGUUACAGAACUGCGAGGCGUGUAGAUGCGCGAAAAAUUCUGCGAGGACGUGCUGCAAAUUACGUGCCGUAAUUUACAACGAGCGGCCGCGACACUAUCCUGGGAGUUCCCGCGUUUAUCUGUGAUGGCAUAACUGCGCGAAAUAAACGUAUCCUCCAUGAACUGAACGCAUCUCUCGAGCAUAAAUCUCUCGUAACUUUAUGAUUCCAUAAUAUAAAAUCUUAAUAGCACAGUCGUCAUACGUGUCUAGUAAUACGUGUAUAAUCGAAGGAAUGAUACGAUUAACGGGUGAACUGGGUUAAUGCUAUAAUAUUGAUAGAGAGUGAUGCUUCUAAGUAUACAGGACAGAAAGAGCAAACCGGUUAUGAUCUGUAUCUCUAUCUAAUAAUGACAGGUUCAUAAAUAAUAACUUUUUAAUCAUAUUAUGUCUACUGCAAAUAGCUUCCAACAAGUAGCAGUGAAAGUAACACACUCGCCUAUCUUUUAUUACUUAUAAAUUUUAAUAGGCAAUGAUAACAAUCGAGUUGCCUUUUGGCAGUCUGAGAAAAUUUAUUUUCUAAUAAAAGAACUCUUAUUGGACAAGAUGGAUAGGUUCUGAAAUUUACAAAAAAAGUCAGACAAAUUUUCGACCAUGAGUGUACAUAUCCGCAAGCAAGAAAAAGGCAGAGAACUCGGAGAAAAUGCUCUAAGGGAUUUUUCUCGAAAUUUUUCUUCUAUGUUCUAUGAUAAUUCCUUCAAGAAUAUUAUAGCUUAGGCUUUAUUGUUACGUCUCGGCAAAGUACAUUUUUUUUAAUCGUCUUAUUGUCAACAAAUAUAAGCGAUAACGCAACUCCAUAAGAAACGAAACCCAAAUACACUGGCCAAAAGCGGCAUAUUAUGAAAACAUAUAUGCCAAAGAUGACGAGAUGACACCAUGUUUAAAAAUCAGACGCUUGGCAAUCGGCACGUAACUUAAUAUCUACAAGUAGUUUGAUCGUCGACGAUUAGAUACUCGAAACGACAAAAAUAUUCAUUCUUCUGGCAUAUCACACUACUUGAUCACACACGAUCACUAUGUUUUAAUAAAAUGUUAAUAAAAAUAGUUUAUCAUGCCACUACAAGAUGAGUCAUCACGUAAAAACAAUUUUAAAUUCAAGUAGAAUAUAUGGACAGUGUUUUAAUCAAAUACUGUCCGAUCACGCGAAUAGAAAAGAAAAAACGUGCAAUUAUUUAAUGAUAUCAAAUUCAGAUAGAUCAAACCUAAACUUUGAAUACUAUAAAACAAUGGAAAAUUGCAAAUAUAAGAUGACGGAUCUUCGUGAAGAAAUAAUAAUAAAGCAUAAAGUGAGGACGACGGAAUAUUAGCCAGUUAUCUUACGUUUGCACGCCGGAAAAUAAAGGAGAAAUAUGAAUCAUCGUCAUUAAAUAAUCAACCAUGCAACACCGGAAGGCUUUAAAUUUGAUAUAAUGCUAAUAGAGGAAACCACAAGAAAUGAACAGGAAUGGGAUGUCGUUGUUUUUACGAAAUUCACAUAAAAUUAUUAAUAGUCGUUUUCGAAAAUUGCAUUGAUCAGAUAAAGGAGAAUUAUCAUAAUUUUGACAUAAUAACAACUUAAGGUAAGCAUUAGGUUAAUGAGAGAAUUUAUUUCCUUCUCUCUAGUAUAAAGUUUGAUCACGGAAUGCAAAAAGUAUUCAGAUAAAAAUUUUAAUUUCUUUUUAUUAUUUGUUUUAUUUUUAAUUAAUUUCAACGCCUCACUCUUUGACGUAAUUCCUCAUUUAUUCGUAAGCUAAUAUCAAAUGUAAUCUAUCUACGUUACGUAGGGAAAAUUAUAACUUGUGACACUCGUGACUCAACUUUUGUAUAAACCCGCACAAGGAAAAGUCAAACACGACAUUCAGAAGACAUGAGCAAUAGAUUCCAUUUCCUCGUUCUAUUAGUUAUGAUGCAAGCGAUACUUCUCCUUUUUUUAUAAAACAGUAACUCGAGAGGAAACAUUUGAAUAGAAAAAUAUUUCACUGAGUUAUCGUGUCUUUUUUCUUGUUUCUAAUGCGUCGCAAUUUCUAAUAAUGCGACACUGCGAGCUUAUUCAGCUCUUAUACGUAAAUUCCUCUUUGAAACACAGAUGUAAAAACCAGACGUCUCGUUUCCACAAAUCAAAAUAAUCGAAAGAUUACGAACGUACAAGAUAUAACUGCAUGAGUCACUUAUCAUGGAAAAUAUUUAAUCAAUUUAGAGAACAUGACACUAUACUACUCUUUUACUCUUCAAAAUCUUGAGACUUGUAUUAAAUAUUAAGUGAAUAUAAAAUGACUUCAAUUAAUAAAACUGAUAAUGUAGAUAAGCAUUGGUCUUAUCAUUUAAUUAUUACGUCAAAUAUACAGAUUUCGCGAUAAUCGCGCAUCAGAUUACGAAUCUUUGAUAUCUUAAAAAGUGCAUCAUACAUCGAAUAUCUGUAAUUAUAUAUUAUUAAGUAGAUUAGAUCUAAUCUACGCUAAGAUGGAAACGUGUCAUCUAGCAUGCGAGAUUAUUUUUGUCCGAUUCAAUCAAUCAGUCGAAGUAUCAGUCGUCAUU